rnacentral:rRNA from 1 species
AGGCCUAACACAUGCAAGUCGAACGGUAGCACAGAGAGCUUGCUCUCGGGUGACGAGUGGCGGACGGGUGAGUAAUGUCUGGGAAACUGCCCGAUGGAGGGGGAUAACUACUGGAAACGGUAGCUAAUACCGCAUAACGUCGCAAGACCAAAGUGGGGGACCUUCGGGCCUCACACCAUCGGAUGUGCCCAGAUGGGAUUAGCUAGUAGGUGGGGUAAUGGCUCACCUAGGCGACGAUCCCUAGCUGGUCUGAGAGGAUGACCAGCCACACUGGAACUGAGACACGGUCCAG